GCAGGGAAUAUUGCGCAAUGGGCGAAAGCCUGACGCAGCGACGCCGCGUGAGGGAUGACGGCCUUCGGGUUGUAAACCUCUUUUCUCAGGGAAGAAUCAUGACGGUACCUGAGGAAUAAGUCACUGCUAACUACGUGCCAGCAGCAGCGGUAAUACGUAGGUGGCGAGCAUUAUCCGGAUUUAUUGGGCGUAAAGCGGGUGUAGGCGGUUCUGUAAGUCGGAUGUGAAAUUUCCUGGCUUAACUGGGAAGGGUCAUUCGAGACUGCAGAACUAGAGGGCAGCAGAGGGAGACAGAAUUCCCGGUGUAGUGGUGAAAUGCGUAGAUAUCGGGAGGAAUACCAGUGGCGAAGGCGGUCUCCUGGGCUGUUACUGACGCUGAGGCCCGAAAGCGUGGGGAGCAAACAGGAUUAGAAACCCUUGUAGUCC
rnacentral:rRNA from 1 species